GAGCCCCAGGUUGGAAGCCAGGGUUCAAUAAUUCCUAACCUGGGGUUACAAAUGAGUGUAGACGCUCAAGCCCUAGAUUAACAAACCCACGGUCUGCUAGCUCAAGUUCUGCUAACCUGGGGCUUACAUUGCAGUGUAGACAUACCCUAAGUGAAACUUUCCCAGAC